rnacentral:rRNA from 1 species
GACGAACGCUGGCGGCGUGCUUAACACAUGCAAGUCGAACGGUGAAGCGCCUUCCUUUUUGGUGGGUGUGGAUGAGUGGCGAACGGGUGAGUAACACGUGAGUAACCUGCCCCCUUCUUCUGGAUAACCGCAUGAAAGUGUGGCUAAUACGGGAUAUUCUGGGUCUGUCGCAUGAUGGGUCUGGGAAAGAUAUUGUUUCGGUGGGGGAUGGGCUCGCGGCCUAUCAGCUUGUUGGUGGGGUGAUGGCCUACCAAGGCGGUGACGGGUAGCCGGCCUGAGAGGGUGGACGGUCACACUGGGACUGAGACACGGCCCAGACUCCUACGAGAGGCAGCAGUGGGGAAUAUUGCACAAUGGGCGCAAGCCUGAUGCAGCGACGCCGCGUGAGGGAUGGAGGCCUUCGGGUUGUGAACCUCUUUCGCCAGUGAAGCAGGCCUGCCUCGUUUGUGGGUGGGUUGACGGUAUCUGGAUAAGAAGCGCCGGCUAACUACGUG